UACCCGCAGCACAAGUGGUGGUCAUUAUUAUUGGGCCUAAAGCGUCCGUAGCUGGCGUGUUAGAUGCCUGGGUAAAUCGAUGCGCUCAGCGCAUCGAAUUCCGGGUAGACCGGCACGCUCGAGACCGGGAGAGGCGUAGGGUACUCGGGGGGUAGGGGUAAAAUCCUGUAAUCCUCCGGGGACGACCAGUGGCGAAGGCGCUACGCUAGAACGGCUCUGACAGUGAGGGACGAAGCCCUGGGGCGCAAACCGG
rnacentral:rRNA from 1 species